rnacentral:rRNA from 1 species
UACGAAGGGGGCUAGCGUUGCUCGGAAUCACUGGGCGUAAAGGGUGCGUAGGCGGGUCUUUUAAGUCAGGGGUGAAAUCCUGGAGCUCAACUCCAGAACUGCCUUUGAUACUGAGGAUCUUGAGUUCGGGAGAGGUGAGUGGAACUGCGAGUGUAGAGGUGAAAUUCGUAGAUAUUCGCAAGAACACCAGUGGCGAAGGCGGCUCACUGGCCCGAUACUGACGCUGAGGAACGAAAGCUAGGGGAGCAAACGGG